rnacentral:rRNA from 1 species
AUUGAACGCUGGCGGCAUGCCUUACACAUGCAAGUCGAACGGCAGCACGGGUGCUUGCACCUGGUGGCGAGUGGCGAACGGGUGAGUAGAGCAUCGGAACAUGCCCAGAUAUGGGGGAUAGCCCGGCGAAAGCCGGAUUAAUACCGCAUAAUGCCUGAGGGAGAAAGCGGGGGACUCGUAAGGGCCUCGCGUAUUUGGAGUGGCCGAUGUCGGAUUAGCUGGUUGGUGGGGUAAAGGCCUACCAAGGCGACGAUCCGUAGCGGGUCUGAGAGGACGAUCCGCCACACUGGAACUGAGACACGGUCCAGACUCCUACGGGAGGCAGCAGUGGGGAAUUUUGGACAAUGGGGGCAACCCUGAUCCAGCCAUGCCGCGUGAGUGAAGAAGGCCUUCGGGUUGUAAAGCUCUUUCGGUGGGGAAGAAAUGGUCGUGGUAAAUAAUCGC